UGGAUGAUAAUGGUCCUGUUUUUUAAGGUAUGAUGAUCACCCUGUUAUUUUGCAUAUGAUGAUGAUUCUGUUAUUUUUUGAAUGUGGUGACUUAUAUUUUGGAGAUAGAAUGAUAUUACUAUUAUUUAUGAAUUUGUCGUAAAUUAGACAGAAAAGAUAUUGAAUUAUUGUGAUGAAUUAUCAAGUUAUGAAAUUGUUGAUUUAUAUGUAAGUAUUGUAUUAAUGUUGUGAUGAUUUAUACGUAAUAGUGAAACUAUAAUGUUGUGAUAUUGUGAUAAUUUACAUAUAGUUGUGUUGAAUUGUUGAUUUAACGUGGUACUAUAAACAGUUUGUAUUAAAUUGUUAGUAUGUGAA
rnacentral:lncRNA from 1 species